rnacentral:tRNA from 1 species
AAUUGUUUAGUUGUUCACCUCGGAGGUCUUUUGUCUUGAAAACAAAAUUUAAGUGUUCAACUCACUUAACAACUU